GGGUUAUAAUUUUUUAUUGUCUGCACUUUUUUAAAAUUACACAAGACAUGUCUUCUUGAAAUACCCUCUAUUCAAAUGAUAGACAUUGGGUAAUACAAUGUCUGUAGCUAAUAACUCACCUAAUGAAGUGUUGGGAAAUGAAAGAAACCAAAUGAUUUCAGACACCGAAGUCCUGAUUGGUCUGUCAGUUGCCAGCCUCCUGGAGUCAAGUUUAAAUUCCUCUUACAAACUCACAGUUCAUCAAAGAGUAAAAUUUUUCACCACAGAAACUACAGAAAUCAACUGGACUUUGAAUAUUGUUUCACCUGUAUAUUUUGCCUAGUGAAGAGAAAGGUAGCAAUUUCAACAUGAAGACUAUGAUUCUACUGUUUUGUCUCCUAGGAUCAACUCUGUCAUUACCAAUGCAGGUCAACCCUACUCUGGGACUUCCUCCAGCAAAGCUGGUUCCAGAUCAGGCAACACCACUAAACCAACAGCAGCCAAAUCCGGUCUUCCCUUCUUUAAGUCUAAUACCAUUGACACAGAUGCUCACACUGGGGUCAGAUCUGCAACUGCUAAAUCCUGGGAUGGCACCUGGUUCCCAGACCCUCCCACUGACCCUGGGGGGACUGAACGUGAAACAGCAACUACAACCACAAAUAUUACCAGUUAUAGUAGCACACCUUGGAGUCCAGGGUACUAUCCUAAGCUCAGAAGAAUUGCCAGCAGCCCCGCAAAUCUUCACAGGCCUUAUCUUCCAUCCCUUGUUCCCUGGAGCCAUCCAGCCCACCAGUCAGGCUAAUCCAGAUGUCCAGAACGGAAUCCUUCCUGCAGGACAAACAGGAGUAAAUUCUGCCAACCAGGGAACGCCACAGGGGCCCCCUCCCAACUUCCAGUGGCACAGAUGAUGACUUUGUAGUGACCACCCCUGCAGGCAUCCAAAGGGGCACACACACUAUGGAGGAAACCACCACACCAUCGCCAAAUGGAAUUCAGUAAGCUGUCUCAAAUUUUUUCAACUAAGCCACCUCAAAUGUGAUGACACAUGAGAAUCUUUUUCAUUGAUCAUAUUACGGAAUAGGCUGAGACACACUGGAGAGUAUCAGAAGAAAUUCAUUCUUAGUUUACCUAUAGAAAUGUUCUUGAAAUUUCUGAAAAUAUAUACUUCCUGGAGAAUACUGACUUCUGAAAAAGAAUACUAGAAUUAAAUGGAUAAAUUUGUCUUUGAAAUAUAACAUUAUGCCACUUUGGA